GCCGCGGUGGCGAAAUGGUAGACGCGCUACCUUGAGGUGGUAGUGCCCGAAAGGGUGUGGAGGUUCAACUCCUCUCCGCGGCA
rnacentral:tRNA from 1 species